rnacentral:tRNA from 1 species
CCUGGUGGCUUAGACGGUAAAGCGUCUGCCUACAAUGCGGGAGACCCUGGUUCGAUCCCUGGGUCAGGA